AACGGGUGAGUAACACGUGGGCAAUCUGCCCUUCACUCUGGGACAAGCCCUGGAAACGGGGUCUAAUACCGGAUAACACUCUGUCCCGCAUGGGACGGGGUUGAAAGCUCCGGCGGUGAAGGAUGAGCCCGCGGCCUAUCAGCUUGUUGGUGGGGUAAUGGCCUACCAAGGCGACGACGGGUAGCCGGCCUGAGAGGGCGACCGGCCACACUGGGACUGAGACACGGCCCAGACUCCUACGGGAGGCAGCAGUGGGGAAUAUUGCACAAUGGGCGAAAGCCUGAUGCAGCGACGCCGCGUGAGGGAUGACGGCCUUCGGGUUGUAAACCUCUUUCAGCAGGGAAGAAGCGAAAGUGACGGUACCUGCAGAAGAAGCGCCGGCUAACUACGUGCCAGCAGCCGCGGUAAUACGUAGGGCGCAAGCGUUGUCCGGAAUUAUUGGGCGUAAAGAGCUCGUAGGCGGCUUGUCACGUCGGAUGUGAAAGCCCGGGGCUUAACCCCGGGUCUGCAUUCGAUACGGGCUAGCUAGAGUGUGGUAGGGGAGAUCGGAAUUCCUGGUGGUAGCGGUGAAAUGCGCAGAUAUCAGGAGGAACACCGGUGGCGAAGGCGGAUCUCUGGGCCAUUACUGACGCUUGAGGAGCGAAAGCGUGGGGAGCGAACAGGAUUAGAUACCCUGGUAGUCCACGCCGUAAACGUUGGGAACUAGGUGUUGGCGACAUUCCACGUCGUCGGUGCCGCAGCUAACGCAUUAAGUUCCCCGCCUGGGGAGUACGGCCCGCAAGGCUUAAAACUCAAAAGGAAUUGACGGGGGCCCGCACAAGCAGCGGAGCAUGUGGCUUAAUUCCGACGCAACGCGAAGAACCUUACCAAGGCUUGACAUAUACCCGGAAAGCAUCAGAGAUGGUGCCCCCCUUGUGGUCGGUAUACAGGUGGUGCAUGGCUGGUCGUCAGCUCCGUGUCGUGAGAUGUUGGGGUUAAGUCCCGCAACGAGCGCAACCCUUGUUCUGUGUUGCCAGCAUGCCCUUCGGGGUGAUGGGGACUCACAGGAGACUGCCGGGGUCAACUCGGAGGAAGGUGGGGACGACGUCAAGUCAUCAUGCCCCUUAUGUCUUGGGCUGCACACGUGCUACAAUGGCCGGUACAAUGAGCUGCGAUGCCGCGAGGCGGAGCGAAUCUCAAAAAGCCGGUCUCAGUUCGGAUUGGGGUCUGCAACUCGACCCCAUGAAGUCGGAGUUGCUAGUAAUCGCAGAUCAGCAUUGCUGCGGUGAAUACGUUCCCGGGCCUUGUACACACCGCCCGUCACGUCACGAAAGUCGGUAAC
rnacentral:rRNA from 1 species